GGGCCUAUAGGUAAAUGGUAUACCGGUGCAUUCGCAUUGCACAGUCUCGAGUUCGAUUCUCGAUAGGUCCACAA
rnacentral:tRNA from 2 species